GAAAUGAGGGUGAUCUGGCUGUGACAUCUGUCACCUCAUUGAUCAGAAGGGUUAAUUUAUCUGAAAUGGCUCAGUAGUCAUCUUUUCAUUCCCUCACCCUUGCACAUGUGCCCAUCCCAGAGCUUCAUGGGAAAACAUCAGUUAUACCUUAAUAGGAUCCACAAGCAGCUGCACUCUCCUUUCAGAACUUCCAGACAACCUCAUACCGUCCUUACUAUGUUUGUGGACUUCAUUUUCCCCUAAACUCAGGCUCUGUGCCAAAGGCU
rnacentral:snRNA from 1 species